GCUACCAUGCAGUCGAACGGUGAUGUCAGAGCUUGCUCUGGCGGAUCAGUGGCGAACGGGUGAGUAACACGUGAGUAACCUGCCCCCGACUCUGGGAUAACUGCUAGAAAUGGUAGCUAAUACCGGAUAUGACGAUUGGCCGCAUGGUCUGGUCGUGGAAAGAAUUUCGGUUGGGGAUGGACUCGCGGCCUAUCAGGUUGUUGGUGAGGUAAUGGCUCACCAAGCCUACGACGGGUAGCCGGCCUGAGAGGGUGACCGGCCACACUGGGACUGAGACACGGCCCAGACUCCUACGGGAGGCAGCAGUGGGGAAUAUUGCACAAUGGGCGAAAGCCUGAUGCAGCAACGCCGCGUGAGGGAUGACGGCCUUCGGGUUGUAAACCUCUUUUAGUAGGGAAGAAGCGAAAGUGACGGUACCUGCAGAAAAAGCACCGGCUAACUACGUGCCAGCAGCCGCGGUAAUACGUAGGGUGCAAGCGUUGUCCGGAAUUAUUGGGCGUAAAGAGCUCGUAGGCGGUUUGUCGCGUCUGCUGUGAAAUCCCGAGGCUCAACCUCGGGUCUGCAGUGGGUACGGGCAGACUAGAGUGCGGUAGGGGAGAUUGGAAUUCCUGGUGUAGCGGUGGAAUGCGCAGAUAUCAGGAGGAACACCGAUGGCGAAGGCAGAUCUCUGGGCCGUAACUGACGCUGAGGAGCGAAAGCAUGGGGAGCGAACAGGAUUAGAUACCCUGGUAGUCCAUGCCGUAAACGUUGGGAACUAGAUGUGGGGACCAUUCCACGGUCUCCGUGUCGCAGCUAACGCAUUAAGUUCCCCGCCUGGGGAGUACGGCCGCAAGGCUAAAACUCAAAGGAAUUGACGGGGGCCCGCACAAGCGGCGGAGCAUGCGGAUUAAUUCGAUGCAACGCGAAGAACCUUACCAAGGCUUGACAUAUACCGGAAACAUGCAGAAAUGUGUGCCCCGCAAGGUCGGUAUACAGGUGGUGCAUGGUUGUCGUCAGCUCGUGUCGUGAGAUGUUGGGUUAAGUCCCGCAACGAGCGCAACCCUCGUUCUAUGUUGCCAGCACGUAAUGGUGGGAACUCAUAGGAGACUGCCGGGGUCAACUCGGAGGAAGGUGGGGAUGACGUCAAAUCAUCAUGCCCCUUAUGUCUUGGGCUUCACGCAUGCUACAAUGGCCGGUACAAAGGGCUGCGAUACCGUAAGGUGGAGCGAAUCCCAAAAAGCCGGUCUCAGUUCGGAUUGAGGUCUGCAACUCGACCUCAUGAAGUCGGAGUCGCUAGUAAUCGCAGAUCAGCAACGCUGCGGUGAAUACGUUCCCGGGCCUUGUACACACCGCCCGUCAAGUCAUGAAAGUCGGUAACACCCGAAGCCAGUGGCCUAACCGCAAGGGAGGAGCUGUCGAA
rnacentral:rRNA from 1 species